CGAGUUCUCGUACGAUGACCAAAGUUAAGCAACGUCGAGCCUGAUCAGUACUUAGAUGGGUGACCGCGUGGGAGUACCAGGUGCUGAAA